GCAUAUCAAUAAGCGGAGGAAAAGAAACUAACAAGGAUUCCCCUAGUAACGGCGAGUGAAGAGGGAAGAGCUCAAAUUUUAAAUCUGCCUUGUUUUCAAGGUCGAGUUGUAAUUUGAAGAAGCGUUUUCUUGGGCUCGCGACCGGUAGAAGUUCUUUGGAACAGGACAUCAUAGAGGGUGACAAUCCCGUCUGCGACCGGUCGUGCGUUCAUCUACGAUACGCUUUCAAAGAGUCGAGUUGUUUGGGAUUGCAGCUCCAAAUGGGUGGUAAACAUCACCUAAGGCUAAAUAUUGGCGAGAGACCGAUAGCGAACAAGUACCGUGAGGGAAAGAUGAAAAGAACUUUGAAAAGAGAGUUAAACAGUACGUGAAAUUGUUGAAAGGGAAACGAUUGAAGUCAGUCGUGCUGGCGCGAAAUCAACCCUCUCGUCGAGAGGACACAUGGCGUGGCGAGCCUCAAAACCGUCACGAAGCGUGAACUCUUGGCGAAAAGGAGCACUUUCGUGUUCGCUGGUUAACAUCAAUUUCGAACGUCAUAAAAAGGCUGGAGGGAUGUGGCUCCUUCGGGAGUGUUAUAACCUUUAGCGGAAUGUGGUGGUCGGGAUUGAGGAUUGCAACGAAUACCUUUAGGGCUGUUCCACCUGGCUUCUCUUUGGUAUCCUGGUGACGACAGCUUGCUGACGUUGUUAGGAUUCGCCUUUGAACAGGCUAGAGUGUGAGCAAAUUCAUUAAGGAUGUUGACGUAAUGGCUUUAAACGAC
rnacentral:rRNA from 1 species